rnacentral:rRNA from 1 species
UACGUAGGGGGCUAGCGUUGUCCGGAAUCAUUGGGCGUAAAGAGCGCGUAGGCGGCCAGAUAAGUCCGGUGUAAAAGUCACAGGCUCAACCUGUGAAUGCCGCUGGAAACUGUCUGGCUUGAGUCCGGGAGGGCGAGUGGAAUUCCUGGUGUAGCGGUGAAAUGCGCAGAUAUCAGGAGGAACACCAAUGGCGAAGGCAGCUCGCUGGAACGGUACUGACGCUGAGGCGCGAAAGCGUGGGGAGCGAACAGG